rnacentral:rRNA from 1 species
UGAGGAAUAUUGGUCAAUGGGCGGAAGCCUGAACCAGCCAAGUCGCGUGAGGGAAGACGGUCCUAUGGAUUGUAAACCUCUUUUGCAGGGGAGCAAGGCGCGGUACGUGUACCGCGAAGGAGAGUACCCUGAGAAAAAGCAUCGGCUAACUCCGUGCCAGCAGCCGCGGUAAUACGGAGGAUGCGAGCGUUAUCCGGAUUUAUUGGGUUUAAAGGGUGCGCAGGCGGACUGUUAAGUCAGCGGUAAAAUGUCGGUGCUCAACACCGGCCGGCCGUUGAAACUGGCAGCCUUGAGUGAGCGAGAAGUAUGCGGAAUGCGUGGUGUAGCGGUGAAAUGCAUAGAUAUCACGCAGAACUCCGAUUGCGAAGGCAGCAUACCGGCGCUCAACUGACGCUCAGGCACGAAAGCGUGGGUAUCGAACAGGC